AAACAAAUCAGCCUUUUUUUUAUAUCAAUGUCAUCAAUGUGUAGGCCUAAUAUUAGACUUUCAAUGAUUCAGAAGUUUCUCUACAGUUUCGUUAUUUUUUUUCCCAGUCAUUGAUGUUAGCAUGUACUACACAAAGAAAAACAGGUAACAGAAUUUCAUUUCCUUUUAAUAUAUUUUUUUAAUAAUGGCCAAUAAUUGUUAUUGUAUGUAACACGAAAAGUAUUUAUCUCUGUAGAGAGAGGGCGAGUAAAUGGGGUUUAAAGUUCACUAAAUUCACUUGACACAAACUAUGCCAUUCAUUUCCUUGUAUUAAAUUGGUCGAAUCAAGUAGGUCCAUGCUAUAUAUAUGUCCUAGAAUCAAGUAGGACAGGUAGUCUUCUUCCGCCCUUUUUCUGAACACUGUCUCAUUCUAUUGCCAUCUGUGCAAAGCAUGAAGCCAAAGGAAAUGUUUUUACCAAGGCAUGUUCCUCAAUAGCGGAGAGAGUUUUAUCCAGUGUCGGUUCUGCAGAAGAACCCAUUCAUAGCAGACCACCCAUUGCAGCACUUGUAAGGUCGCUAUAAAGAACCCGACAGACUCUGCGACCAAAAGAUCCCACUGACGUGUCGUCAAGCCUUGACGAAGAUUUCAUCGAUCAUAGUGCACCGGGAUUUUAUCAAAAAAGAGUAAAAGUUGGGGAAAGGUGCCAUCACAUUUUUUGUACUGAUAGACAGAUGCAACUACUCGCACGCGCAAAAACUUGGUAUAUGGAUGCAACUUUUCGGGUGGUGAACAAGCCAUGGUCUCAGCUGUUUUCCAUACACGCCUUCAUUAAGACUGGAGAGACCACCCGACAGUAACCAUUGGUGUUUUGUGUAAUGUCGGGUAAAAGCCAAGACGACUAUUAUAAGUUUCCAUAUUAGAUGCCAUAGCAAAUCAAAGAUCAUAUAAUAAAAUAAGUCAAAAAACCCAAAUAUGGAAAAAGAAAGAGAUGAAGAAAUGGUGAUUUGAGCACCUAUGCUUUCUCAUAGGUGUUUUUGGAGGUUUCCAUAUUAGAUGCCAUAGCAAAUCAAAGAUCAUAUAAUAAAAUAAGUCAAAAAACCCAAAUAUGGGAAAAGAAAGAGCUGAAGAAAUGGUGAUUUGAGCACCUAUGAUUUCUCAUAGGUGUUUUUGGAGGUUAACUACAUCAGAAAGAUCAAGACAGUUGGAAAUGGCUAUUCAUAUUAUGGAAACUUUUUCUCACAGAGCUUGAUAAUCAGGUAAAAUGCUGGAAGAUUAUUUGAUGUAUGAUAACAACAAGAGAUCCCAAGCAUCAAUUUAUUUUAUAAUUCUGGAAAAGAAUGCAUUUGACCCAAUUUUUGAAUAUUUUUUUUUGUUUUUACUGUUAAAUAUUCAUCCCAAACACAAUUAGAUUUUAAUUCUCUACAGAAAUUUAUGUAUAAUAUAGAAUGUAAAGUGACAUAUAAAUCACUUAGAAUUUGGUCGGAAAUCAUAAAGUAUUUAAUAGGCAUAGUCUAGAAACCAAAUGUAGAUCAAAUAUACCCAGAAUUACAAAAAAACUUGACCUACAUUAAGGUGACUUUCCCUUGCUUAUGAAAUGAAAUAGGGUUUAAUAUCCUACUUUUCUGUGUUAUUAUGGUGAUUCUGCCCUACAACCUACUCUUAUAUCAAAUAUUUCAUCCGUCAAGGGUUGUUUAAAGGGAACCCAGGAGGGCCGAAUGGUUAACACACGCACAUUGGAUCAGAAGGGUCUGUCAUUGAGUCAGAUAAUUCAAUUGUCAAGGGUUCUUUAAAGUAAACGCAGUGGGGGUAGUUUCAAUUCUGGGCUUAUACCCAAUUAUCCCUUGCCAUGUCCUACACUGCUGACGUGUGGGAACUAUGUCGGAAAAUCCAGUUGAAAUUUCUCGGCCAAUGCACUCACUGAACCACAGUGGCUGCUCCUUGCUUUUGACUUGUGAUUAUUUAUAUAUAUUUUGUACAUAUUAUUUAAUGUUUGCGAUUUUCUCUGAUAUUUUUUUAUUUUUCAAUCCUGUAAUCUUGAUGCUUUGCUCCUUUUAUGUACAAAAUAUUCAUUUUGUUUGAGGAAAAGGUUCUACAUCAUUUUAUUACUCCUGCAAAAUAGUGCAUUUUUCUUUUGUUAGUUUUCUGUGUAUGCUAGUUAUUUCUAGAUGCCUCACAAAUCACUUGUAAUAUGACUUUGUAGCACUUUUCAGUUUCUGAAAGUAUUUCAAUUUAGUGCAUAAUUAAUCUAAUUAGGGCUUGGUUUGGAUGUUAUUAAAUUUAGAUAUAUUUGAAUUAUAUAUUUUUGGGGUAUGGGGUAGGGAUCUUUCUUUUCUCAGUUCUUGUUUUCGGGUAAAGAAAAAAUUAAAUAGCUAUUUUGAAUUUUGUGAUGUGGGGGGGAGGGGGGCAAAGUAUAACAAAAUUUUUAUUAGUAUUAGAAUUAUAUCUCUGUUUUUCUGUUAACAUUUCAAAUGAUGUCUAUUUAGUUUUGAUUUGGUGGUGUUAAUUUACUUUUUCCUAUCAUUUUAUGAAUAAAUGAUAAUUUAACAAAUAAAAUUAUUGUUACCUCAUUUAUCAAACUUUACAGGUUAAACAGAGCAAAAGGGGUGGGGGGCUGCAUGGGAAAGAUUGCUAAAUUGAGGGAAAAUAAAACACAAGUUUUUGUUGGUGGUUAUACACAAGUUUUUAUGAAACCACACAAGUUUCAGAAAUUUCAACACAAGUUUCAGAAAUUUCAACACAAGUUUCAGAAAUUUCAACACAAGUUUCGACACAAGUAUUGUGUAGAUUUUCACACAAGUUUCAACACAAGUUUGUGUUGUUUGGUAAAUUUUAACACAAGUCUUGUGUUGUUUCAACAUUUAACACAAGUUUGUGUUGUUUCAACACAAGUUUGUGUUGUUAAAUAGAGACACCUAACU